AGAGUUUGAUCAUGGCUCAGAUUGAACGCUGGCGGCAGGCCUAACACAUGCAAGUCGAGCGGUAGCACAGAGAGCUUGCUCUCGGGUGACGAGCGGCGGACGGGUGAGUAAUGUCUGGGAAACUGCCUGAUGGAGGGGGAUAACUACUGGAAACGGUAGCUAAUACCGCAUAACGUCGCAAGACCAAAGUGGGGGACCUUCGGGCCUCAUGCCAUCAGAUGUGCCCAGAUGGGAUUAGCUAGUAGGUGGGGUAAUGGCUCACCUAGGCGACGAUCCCUAGCUGGUCUGAGAGGAUGACCAGCCACACUGGAACUGAGACACGGUCCAGACUCCUACGGGAGGCAGCAGUGGGGAAUAUUGCACAAUGGGCGCAAGCCUGAUGCAGCCAUGCCGCGUGUGUGAAGAAGGCCUUCGGGUUGUAAAGCACUUUCAGCGGGGAGGAAGGCGNNNNNNNNNNNNNUAAGGUUAAUAACCUUGGCGAUUGACGUUACCCGCAGAAGAAGCACCGGCUAACUCCGUGCCAGCAGCCGCGGUAAUACGGAGGGUGCAAGCGUUAAUCGGAAUUACUGGGCGUAAAGCGCACGCAGGCGGUCUGUCAAGUCGGAUGUGAAAUCCCCGGGCUCAACCUGGGAACUGCAUUCGAAACUGGCAGGCUAGAGUCUUGUAGAGGGGGGUAGAAUUCCAGGUGUAGCGGUGAAAUGCGUAGAGAUCUGGAGGAAUACCGGUGGCGAAGGCGGCCCCCUGGACAAAGACUGACGCUCAGGUGCGAAAGCGUGGGGAGCAAACAGGAUUAGAUACCCUGGUAGUCCACGCCGUAAACGAUGUCGAUUUGGAGGUUGUGCCCUUGAGGCGUGGCUUCCGGAGCUAACGCGUUAAAUCGACCGCCUGGGGAGUACGGCCGCAAGGUUAAAACUCAAAUGAAUUGACGGGGGCCCGCACAAGCGGUGGAGCAUGUGGUUUAAUUCGAUGCAACGCGAAGAACCUUACCUGGUCUUGACAUCCACAGAACUUUCCAGAGAUGGAUUGGUGCCUUCGGGAACUGUGAGACAGGUGCUGCAUGGCUGUCGUCAGCUCGUGUUGUGAAAUGUUGGGUUAAGUCCCGCAACGAGCGCAACCCUUAUCCUUUGUUGCCAGCGGUUAGGCCGGGAACUCAAAGGAGACUGCCAGUGAUAAACUGGAGGAAGGUGGGGAUGACGUCAAGUCAUCAUGGCCCUUACGACCAGGGCUACACACGUGCUACAAUGGCAUAUACAAAGAGAAGCGACCUCGCGAGAGCAAGCGGACCUCAUAAAGUAUGUCGUAGUCCGGAUUGGAGUCUGCAACUCGACUCCAUGAAGUCGGAAUCGCUAGUAAUCGUAGAUCAGAAUGCUACGGUGAAUACGUUCCCGGGCCUUGUACACACCGCCCGUCACACCAUGGGAGUGGGUUGCAAAAGAAGUAGGUAGCUUAACCUUCGGGAGGGCGCUUACCACUUUGUGAUUCAUGACUGGGGUGAAGUCGUAACAAGGUAACCGUAGGGGAACCUGCGGUUGGAUCACCU
rnacentral:rRNA from 1 species